rnacentral:rRNA from 1 species
AGCGAACGCUGGCGGCAGGCUUAACACAUGCAAGUCGAGCGGGCAUCUUCGGAUGUCAGCGGCAGACGGGUGCGUAACACGUGGGAACGUACCCUUCGGUUCGGAACAACUCUGGGAAACUGGAGCUAAUACCGGAUACGCCCUUAUGGGGAAAGGUUUACUGCGGAAGGAUCGGCCCGCGUCUGAUUAGCUAGUUGGUGGGGUAACGGCCUACCAAGGCGACGAUCAGUAGCUGGUCUGAGAGGAUGAUCAGCCACUCUGGGGCUGAGACACGGCCCAGACUCCUACGGGAGGCAGCAGUGGGGAAUAUAGGACAAUGGGCGCAAGCCUGAACCAGCCAGGCCGCGUGAGUGAUGAAGGCCUGAGGGUUGUAAAGCUCUUUUGUCCGGGACGAUAAUGACGGUACCGGAAGAAUAAGCCCCGGCUAACUUCGUG